rnacentral:rRNA from 1 species
AACGAACGCUGGCGGCAGGCCUAACACAUGCAAGUCGAACGCCGUAGCAAUACGGAGUGGCAGACGGGUGAGUAACACGUGGGAACGUACCCUUCGGUUCGGAAUAACUCAGGGAAACUUGAGCUAAUACCGGAUACGUCCGAGAGGAGAAAGAUUUAUCGCCGAGGGAUCGGCCCGCGUCUGAUUAGCUUGUUGGUGAGGUAACGGCUCACCAAGGCGACGAUCAGUAGCUGGUCNGAGAGGAUGAUCAGCCACAUUGGGACUGAGACACGGCCCAAACUCCUACGGGAGGCAGCAGUGGGGAAUAUUGGACAAUGGGCGCAAGCCUGAUCCAGCCAUGCCGCGUGAGUGAUGAAGGCCCUAGGGUUGUAAAGCUCUUUUACCCGGGAAGAUAAUGACUGUACCGGGAGAAUAAGCCCCGGCUAACUUCGUGCCA